CAGGGACCCACUUCCCUCCCUCUUCUCUUCCUCAUGUUGCUUUAUUCCAGUGGCUGGACAGCAAGCCUUGGAGAGGCUCUCUUGCUGCUGCUCACCACUCCACCAUCUUUCCCUCUCUCCCCCAAUUUCAGGUACUUCUGUCUGACAUCUUUCUGAGGAUUCCAUAUUCUUGUUGAAUCUGUCAUUCAAAUUUUGAACUGUUUUGGUUAGCUCAUCCAGUUAUUUACUUAUUUACCCAAAAUUCACUGUGGGCAGAUUGAGUAUAAUUGCUGUAAACUUUUAAUUCAUUUCCUCUUUGAACAUUUCUGUUAGUUGGUCUUUGUUUUUUCUCCCUUUGUGACCUUUUGCUCUGCGUUGGAGGAGUUUGGGUGGUGGUGGUCGGAGAUCUUCUAUUUCUGUGUUUCCCUGUUCUCCUACUUGUGUCUGUAUUUAUUUGUUUAUGUAUCUGUGUCUAUAUAUCCCUUUUGGAAGCACUGAGCUACAUCCCUGGCCCAACUGUUUAUUGUUCGUAGCUGCUCUGCAGUGAGGCGGGAGAGGUGAGGUGGAGGAUGCGGGUGUCUGCAGGGGUAGUGUUAGGCGCUAAGGAAGAGGUUUGAAACGGAGACGAGUGGUAGAUGAAAAGAAAAGAUACAUCAAGAGUCCGAUUUUAUUGGAGUACUUUUAGCUGAGUUGAUGGUUCAGUAUUACGAGUUUUCAGAGCAUAUUCUGUGUGGGCAAGGGUGAGAUAUAGGAGCAAGGGGCUUCACUUUGAGAUUAAGGAAAGCUAUGUGGUUAUCAGAACUUGCAUAUAGGGAAGACAGUAAACUAGGGAAGAUAUGAAAGAGCCAAAGGCUUAGGAUGGGGAGGAUCAAGGAAUUAUACUAGUGAAGAUAGGCGUGACUGUGAGGGAGCUGAGCACAGUGAAUUUAAAAACUUGGAAGGAGGAGUUUACAUGUUUGGAAAAAUAAUAAAGGUAUAUGUUAAUAACAUUGUCUCUGGGCAUUGAAGUGAAGAAACUAGAUAAAGAGCUGAGAUGAAGGAGAGAACCUAGACACCUAUUGAAAUCAGGGCCAAUGAAAGAAUAAAUAUACAAGAGUAGCAACCUAAUAUACACAUGGAACCAUGAAAGACAUAACCCCACUUUACUAAAUAACUCAAGAAACAUAAAAAACUUAAACCAAGAAGAUGUCUGAUGGGAACACAGAUUAGAUAUUCCAAUGAGACACUGCACGUGAUUCUCAAGCAGCUUCUUUGCCAGAGAGUCUGAGUGCUCACAUCCCAAUUAUUCCUCCGAUCACUCCACUGCAAUACUGAAGUUAACUCAGAGUCAAGACCUCUUUCUGCCACAUUGCAAGCAUCCUUGCACAGUGUGAUCCAGACUGAGUUCUUGGGUUAGGAACUUGUUGACCUCCUCGCUGGGUAUGAUGGUGGAUUCAGUAGACAAGUUCACCGGCACUAAAUUGUCCACUGAGUCAAGAUUAUUCCUCUGCAAUCAAUUCAACAACAGCAGUAAUGGGCUAAUCCAUUGCAGUGGUAUCUAUGAAGGAUAGUUGAGGAAUAACAUACCAUAACACCCUGUUUGGGGUCACCCUUUACCAGUAGGAACAUGGCACCAAUAUGAGCCUCCAACACUGUGUAACUCAGGCUGAAACUGACAUCUGACCACAGGAACUGAGUCUAUGAUCAUCAGUUCCUGCCUCAGUUCCAGACACAGGAUUUCCCCCAGUCUGCUUUCCAACUGCCACUGUUCCAGAAAUCUCAGAGAGAAAUACACGGAGACACAGAAUUUGGAUAAAAUAAUAAAAUUUCUUCUCGCGAGCAGGUGGGAAAGCCAGAAUCCGGUCUGGCUAGUGUCCGUUCCCUUUGUUCAGUGUUUCCCUUUUUAAAUACUUUUUAGCCAUUAUCUCAUCCCUAGUGGUCUUUGAUGUGUAAGUACAAUCCCAGUUCCCAUUCACAAGUCACAGACACAAGAUACAUUGUAAAUUCACCCUGGCAUGGUAACUUUGUAAGCUUAAUGAAGUUACCGGUUAGAGUCAGAUAAUCGUCACCUUAAACAAGUAGUUAUGGGAAAAGCAAAUCUUAAAAGAACACAUUACUUAUUUUGCUUCUACAACUACCUUAAUAUUCAGUCUGUUAAGUUAUCUGAAACUUUUCCGUAUCACCGCCUACCUCCUAUGACUGUCCUUCCCUCAUCCACUCUGAGAAUUUGGCAAGGCGAAGUGGCCAAUGGGCUGUUCUGGAACUGAGGUUCCAACAGCCAGCCUUUCCCUGCAAUGGCAUCCUUGCCAACUCCUGCUCUGUGUGGCUGCGUCCUGAGGCACGUGUACCACAGUCACUCACUAACUGUUGACUCUAGAGGGCUGCUUGGGAAGCAGUCUUAUGUUCUUCCCAACUGCCUCAACUGUGUCAGAGUCUCUUGGUCCCUACGCAGUUCUCUGUGAGCAGAGAAGUUAUUAGCUUCACGUUGCCUCCCAGCUGGCAGCCAGCCAGCCGCCCUCUGGUGUUGUUUUGCCAUGUGGGCCACCUCUUCUGUAUCGCUUAGUUCUAUUUUCUUCUCCUCUGUCAGUUCCCUCAAGGUUCCUGUGUCCUUCCCCUCACUGUUUCCUCUCCGAGCCACUGCCCAGACUCCAGACCCUUUGUCCUGGGGAAGCAAAGCUGCUGGCCCUUGCUGCUCGGCCAUCUAGUGGAGGUCACUCUGAAUCUUUCUUUUUAUAAGGGCAUAAAGCUAUGUAGAUUUUCUUCUAUAACUUUUCAAAUUUUGCAUUUCAAUUAAUGAACUUUCUUUAGUGACAUUUUGAACUCAUUAUAUAAUUUGUGUCCAUGCAUUUUUUUUCUCUCAAGGAUUCCAAAUGGUUCACUUUUUCCACAGUUCUGUAUCUAUUUGUGGAACAGACUCCUCUCUCCAUUAAGUGGCCUCUGACAAAGUCAGUUGAUCUUAUUUAUUUGGGUCUACCUUGGGCUAUGAAUUCUGCUCUAUGUAGCUACUGUUCUGUUCCUUCCCCAGUACCACACUCUUAUUACUGAGCUUUACAAUAAGUGCUCAGUGUAGAUUCUUGAAUUCUUCUUUUUCAGUCUUAUACCAUACAUUCUGCUUUUAGAACGAGUACGUUGCUGUGAUAGUUGUGGUGUCACUUUGAAUAAGAAAUGCCUAGCAGAUUGGUUUAGCACAGUUCUGGGUGUGUCUGGAUGAUUGACUUACUGAAGAGGAAAGACCCAACCUUGGGUGUGGGUGGCACUGACCAACAAGGUUAUGGCCUAGAUGGAAUAAAAAGGGAAAGAAGGAAGCCUUGCUUCUGCUUCUAAGGAGCUCCAGUCUUUGCUGUUGCCUUUGGACAUCCAUCUUCAGGCUUCCAGGGCAGACUCUUUAGCCUUCUAAUGCAGACCCCUAGGGUUCUCUGUGUGGACUCACAUGGGACUCUGAAGUGAGCUCCAUGCCUUUGACUUUUUUUCUCAGCUAUGUUUAUUUUUCCUUUAUUUUUAAAUUGAUUUUAUUGGUAUAAUUUAAAUAUAUAUAAAUAGCACAUUCAUCAAAGUGAAUUUGUACCUGUAUAUGGUAUAUCUUGAUUCCUCUUUUUUCCCAAUCCCUUCCCCUUUAUUCCACUUCCCUCCCCUCCUUAUUUAUGAAAACUUUGUUUCCAUUUUUUCCUUCUUUUCUCAUUUUUUUCUUUUCCCUUCCUUUUUUUCCUGCCCCUCUUUAGUUUCCCUUUCCUUUUGAAUAAUUGCUUCCUAUUUCACAUUAUCUAUUAUACAUUUUGGUCUUUAUUUAUCCUUUCAGUUUCUCACACCAGAGAGACAAUGUGAUAUUUACACUUGUCCGAUUUAUUUCACUUAAGGGUGUGGUCUCAAGGUGCAUCCAUUUAGCUAGAAAUGUCUCAAGUUUGUCUUUCUUUAUGGCUGAGUAGUACUCCAUUGUAUUAAAAAAACACAUCUUUUUUAUCCAUUCAUUCGUUGAUGGGCAUUUGGGUUGUUUCCAAGAUUUAGCUAUUACAAACUGUCACUCUAAACAUGGGUGUGCAUAUAUUGCUGUGGUAUGAUUCUUUUAAUUCUUUCAGGAAGAUCCCCAGCAGGGGAGUGCCUUUGACUUUUGACUGGGUCCUCCAGCUCUCCAGUGCAUAGACAGCCCUUUUGCAUUCUUCCACCCCUGACUCUGCAGGCAGCCAUUGUAAGCCUACCGUGUCAAUAUCUAGUAUCUAUCAUCUAUCUCAUCUAUUUCUCUAGUGAGCCCUAACUGAUAGUUGGCAUCUUUGGUGGGAAUUUGAUUGGGAUUCUGCUGGAUCUAUAGAUCAAGUUAGAGGAAUUGUCAUAAUAACAAAAAUGAUUGUACGCUUGAAUCAGUCAAUGUUUCUAGAGAAACAGAUAUAACACAAGAUCUAAAAAUAUAUAUGGAUUUACAAGAUUGGCUUAUAAGGGCCAACCAUAGAGUUGGAUGUGGAAGAGCGCAGAGGGUCUUUCUGCAUGCUAGAUACCAAAGGAUUCAGUGGAAGGUCUGGAGCUCACUUCAGUGUCCUGUGUGAGUCUCUAUCAGGAGGCCAAUGGGGUCUGUGAUGGAGGUUUGAAGAGUCUAUGCCGGAAGCCUGAAGGAUCUGCACCAGAAGCUGAAGAAUCUGCACAGGAAGCCAGGAAAUGACAUCCAAGGCGACAAGCUGCCCUAGGGCGUGGAAUUGCUGAACCAGUGUAGUUGGGCUGCUCUUACUCAAGUUAACACAGUCAGUCAACCAGUGCACUGCUGCUAAACAAAGGGUAUCUCUGCAUUUAUUUAUGUUUCCUUUGCUUCCUUUUACCCAUGUUUCAGUUUUCUGAAUGCAUAUUUGUAUAUACAGAAUCUGCCGCAAAAUGUCUACAUCGGGAAAAGAAAAAGUCGAAUAAAUAUUUUAAUACUGAGUUUACGGAGAGACCAUGAGGUUCGUGCAAAUUUGCCUCUCCAUUUAUAAGAGGUGCUCAAAGUGGUGGGCAUUGGCAGCGUUUGUGGUUAGAUUCCAGCUCUUCAGGCUCUAGGACGGGAUGUAUUAUACAUGAUGUUUAAACUCCUCAUUUCCAUCCCUCUUUUCCCCACCUCCCUCCUCUCCUUUCCAUUUCUCUUUUGUUUUCUCCCCUGAGGGACAGGUACCGAACCCUGGGCCUUGUGCAUCCCAGUCAAGCCUUCCAUCACUGAGCUGUGCCCCAGCCCAUUUUAAAAGCUGCUGCAGGUCUAUCUUGCAGAAUAGCGAUGUCCAUUCUGGGCACUCAGUAGGUGUAUACGCCACGUUCCGCUCAUUUUCAGUUCCUCUGCUUCCUCUUUCCCCCUUCCCUUGAUUCUCUUUCCUGUCUCCAAGAGUCCACCUUCUUAAAAAUUUUAGCCGGGCGUGCUGCUACUUGCCUGUAAUCCCAGGGCUUGGGAGUCAGAGGCAGGAAGACUGCAGUGAGUUCAAGGUCAGCCUGCGCCUCAAAGUAAGACCCUGUCUCAAAAACCCAAAAAUUAAAAAAUAAUUCCACUCGUUCCUAUAUUGUGGAUCUGUAGGUCAUCAAUUGACUUUUGUCUUCUGGACUUCUACUUUGGUUCUGGUUAUCUCUAUCAUUUAUUUUGUGUUGCUAUAACUGAGGACUUUAGACUAAAGUAAUUAAUAAGUAAAGUAAGCGUUUGUUGUUGUUUUUUUUUUGGUACGGGGAAUCGAACUUGGUUCCUUGCGCUUGCUUGCGCAGCAGGCGGCGAAACCACUGAGCUAAAUCCCUGGCCCAAGUAAGUGUAUUUUUACAAUUCUGGAUACUAGAAAGUCCAAGGUUGAGGUACUGCCUCUGUUAAGGAUCUACUUGCUAGUAGGGACUGAGCCCUGAAGUGGUGCUCAAUGUAAUUGGUGAGAAAAAUUGUGCCAGAGAAAGCUUGCUUUUAUAACAAAACCACUCCCUUGAUACCUUGUUGAUCCAUUAUUUAUGAAUGUGUUCAUUCUUUUUUUUUGUACUGGGGAUUGAACUCGGGACCUUGCGCUUGCGAGGCAGGAGGUGGAACCACUGAGCUAAAUCUCCAUCCCCGAAAGUAUUCAUUCUUAUUAGCAGAGCCCUUAAAACGAAAUCACCUCCCAAAGUUUCCAUUAGAAUAUGACUUUGGGGGUGAAGUCUGCACCUCAUGAAUUCUAUUUUUGUUUUGUUUUAAGACAGGGUCUUCCUAUGUAGCUCAGGCUGGCCUUGAAGCCUUUGGAAUGCCAGGAUUACAGGCGUGGGCCACCAUACCCAGCUAUACCACUUGAAUUCUGGAGAAUGAACUUUUCAAUCCACAGCACCACCCAUUCAGAUCAGGGCAUGGUGGGCUCUAUUUCAGUUUCCAUGUCCAAAGUUAUGAUAUUUAGGAGUGGGUGCAAUCCUGCUAAACAGUGCCAGGGACUGCCCUGUGUUGAGCCCCAGAGCCUCCUUCUCCAGGGGCCCCAGUGUACUGGCCCCUCAUGGUCAUCAGCAUCCACAGUGAGGACCGAGCCUUCUACUCCUCCUUGGGACUGGCCCUGGAGACACCCUGGCAGCUUCCUGAUGAAGGGGCCCACAAAGGAGGAAAAGGUAGGGAAGUCAGAAUAAAGCCUCCUGUGCUCAAGAGAGCUUCUGGUGUGUUUGUCUCUUUCUUGGGUAAUAGUUUAGCAAAGUUCACUUUACAAUGGCAACCCUUCAUGGAGGUUGUGACCACUCAUCUUUAUAACAUACUGAUUGCAAUUUGUUUCUGGAGGGAAGUCUGGGCACACAAACAGGAGAAAUGCUGGGACAGUCUUGGCGAAAGCUGGGGUGCUGCCAUAUAGUCAUCCUUGAACUGGAGGGCAAAGGGCCAAGUCCAUCCUAUUACUUGGUUUUCUUGAUGUUUUAAUGAUUCAUUUUCCUUACAGUGUUAAAGUAGUAGGGGAAGUUGAAUAGUAGAUGUGUUAAAUUUGGCAACAUUAUCUAAGUCUAAAUGCAUCAUUUAUACUAAAGCCAGAAUUUGUUAAAAAUAUAUUUUGUGGCUUUUAUGGGGGAGGUAAAUUUAUCAGCUACACUUUUUCUUUUGCUACAGUUUAGCAUAAUCUUUCUAAUGAUGCACAAAAUAAUGUCUGGUGUGUAAACAUUGCCAUCCUAGAUAAAAUGUCUUGACUGUAUUAAGAUAUAUUAUAAUAUAAAAUGAAUUUAAGAAAGCCACCUCUUUUUUUCUACAUCUUCAUCAUUUUAUAUAAAAUCAGACUUUGUUAAAAGUCAGGGAACACUCAUAUGUGAUCCCAGUAUUUCUAAGAUCUUUCCAAUGGGCAAGCUCUAAGCAUCUUCCAAGCUUUUUUGUGCCAUUUGGUCUAUUUAUAGUUUCCUUAUUUUUGAUUUCUUUUUGUUAAUAUGUAUUUUUACUGGGAAACCACCCAUUUCCUCUAGGCUCCAUUUUAAUCCAAUAGAUUCAUCAUAUUUGACUGUUAAUUUUAUUUCCCGUUUUAGUUUUCUGUGGAAUUCUUUUUUUUUUUCAGUACUGGGGUUGGAACUCAAGGGCCUUUUGCACGCUAGGCAUGUACUGUACCACUGAGCUACAGUCACAGCCAGAAUUCAUAAUCCUAAGUACUUCUGCUAUAUUUUAUCAACAGUAUUUAGAAAAAUAUGCUUUUUAGCCUAUCUUGUUUUUGAUUGAGAGAAUUGUCUUGUUUGAAAAGUUCUCAUGAUUGGGACCAGGGAUGUAGCUCAGUGGCACUAUGCCUGCCUGGCAAGCACAAGUUCCUGAGUUUGAACCCUGGUGCCAAAAAAAAAAAAAAAAAGAAAAGAAAGAAAAUUUCUCAUGAUAAUCUUAAAUGAUUUUAAUUAAUUUCUGCUUAAUAAAACAUCUUUGAAUUGGUGGUGUGGCUCAGUAGUAGAGAGCUUCCCUAGCAGGCACGAGGCCCUGAGUUCCAUCCCAACACCACAAAAAAUGUCUUUGGCAGGAAAUUGUUUUUAAAGAUUAUAUACUUAUAUACACAAACAUUACAGGAUUUACAUGAGAAACCACUGCGGAACUAAUGCUUUUUAACAUUACUCAGAGUGUUUUAUAGAGAAUAAUCCAAAGUGAAAACGAUACUUUAUUUGUGUAUAUGUUUAAAGUGACAAGAUACUGUUUUUUUGUUUUGUUUUGGAGAGGUAGUAGGAUUAUAUUCAAUGUUUACUUCUUUUUUCAUUAACAAAAUUUGAGAUUUUUAAAAGGUAGACAUCACUGAUGUAAUUAAACUCUGAAAUCACCUCUUGCUCUGCUGUUAUUCCUAGUACUUAUGUUAAAUCAUGUCAUCAGUUCCUGCUGUGUCAGAUCUGCAAGAGGCCCUGUGUACUAGUGAGCAGCCGCCUCUGCUACAUGUUCCCAUUACCACUGUCCUCUGCUUCCACUCAGGAUCAAAGCAACAGAGCCAACUGAUCGUGAUGAAACUCCUGAAACCAUGAGCCAAAAUAAACAUUUCCUCCUGUAGAUUACUUUUCUCAGGUAUAUUACACAGCGACAGAAAGCUAACACAGAUGGAUCAUUUAUAUACUACUAAAAAUGGAAUUAAAUAAGAAAUGUGCCUAAGAAUGUUCAUAAAGCCUUCAGUCAUAAUGACCAAACUAGGAAGUAGCCCAGAUGUCUUUCAAUAGUAAAAUGGGUGAAGAAAUUGAAAUGCAUGCAUACAAUAGAAUACUAUUCAGCACUACAAAAGUCCAAACUUUGUAGUACAUACGCUGUGUGAAUCUCCCAAACUGUUCUGUUUUGUUUUGUUUUCUGGUACCAGGGAUCAAACUCUGGACCUUGUGUUUGCGAGGUAGGCGCUGGAACCAGUGAGCUACAUCCCUGGCCCAGUCUUGCAAACUUUGUAGGGAGGGAGGUGGCUGGGCAAAAAUAAUAUAUAUUGUCUGAUUGUAAGCAAAGGAACCCAUGGUGAGAAGAGUCACAGCAGUAACUCUCAUCUGUGAGCACAAAAAAUGCCAGAAAGGAACACAAGAUAAUUUUCUAGAGAAGAUGAAAGUAUUCUUAAAAGUAGCGAAGAUUUUACGGGUGUAUUUGUUAAAGUGAUACAGUUACAAUUUAUGCGUUUCAAUAUACAUGUGUACUUCUGGGCACAGAAAAAAGAAAAGAACUUUAAAAAUUAAGUUUUGGAGAUAGUGAAUAAGUUGAAGGUUAGAGAAACAAAAACUAGCACAUGGUUAGUAAUUAUUGAAGCUGAGUGACAGGUCUAUUAUUCAAUUUAUUUUAUGUACUUUUAAUAUUUUUUGUAAUAAAACACUUGUAUAAAAAGUCUAAAUUGGCCAGGUGUGGUUGUGCACGCCUGUAAUCCCAGCACUUGGGAGGCUGAAGCAGGAGGAUUGCCACAAGUUUGAGGCCAGCCUGGACUACACAGUGAGUUCAAGGCUAGCCUGAGCUACAUACAAAACAAAAACAACAAAAUCAACUACAAAAAAGUCCAAGUUGAUCUACGAUGUUACCUUGUAGAGAGAAGCUGCUCCAUUUCCUGGUUGUGUAAGUGUGUUCACUUUGUAAUAUUUGCAGUAUUGUACUCUAC
rnacentral:lncRNA from 1 species